CCUACGGGAGGCAGCAGUGGGGAAUAUUGGGCAAUGGGCGCAAGCCUGACCCAGCAACGCCGCGUGAAGGAAGAAGGCUUUCGGGUUGUAAACUUCUUUUGUCAGGGACGAAGCAAGUGACGGUACCUGACGAAUAAGCGACGGCUAACUACGUGCCAGCAGCCGCGGUAAUACGUAGGCGGCAAGAGUUAUCCGGAUUUAUUGGGUGUAAAGGGCGUGUAGGCGGGAAUGCAAGUCAGAUGUGAAAACUAUGGGCUCAACCCAUAGCCUGCAUUUGAAACUGUAUUUCUUGAGUGCUGGAGAGGCAUUCGGAAUUCCGUGUGUAGCGGUGAAAUGCGUAGAUAUACGGAGGAACACCAGUGGCGAAGGCGGAUUGCUGGACAGUAACUGACGCUGAGGCGCGAAAGCGUGGGGAGCAAACAGGAUUAGAUACCCCUGUAGUC
rnacentral:rRNA from 1 species